UACGGAGGGGGCAAGCGUUGUCCGGAAUCAUUGGGCGUAAAGAGCGUGUAGGCGGUUCAGUAAGUCUGCUGUGAAAGUCCAGGGCUCAACCCUGGGAUGCCGGUGGAUACUGCUGGGCUAGAGUACGGAAGAGGCGAGUGGAAUUCCCGGUGUAGCGGUGAAAUGCGCAGAUAUCGGGAGGAACACCAAUUGCGAAGGCAGCUCGCUGGGACGUCACUGACGCUGAGAAGCGAAAGCGUGGGGAGCGAACAGG
rnacentral:rRNA from 1 species